rnacentral:misc_RNA from 1 species
AACGCAAAUUGCACUCUCUGGCAUUCCGGGGAGUAUGCCUGUUUGAGGGUCAGUACAACAAAAAAAAAAUCGGUAUGUUGCUUUUUUUGUGACUUUCCGGAUUUUGGGUUAUCUUAACGUUUUUAAAAAUUAAGAGGCUUAAAAUUGAUCUCUUGCGCAUUAUUUUUAGGUGUACAUAAAUUCUUUUAUUCGUCUAUUAAUGCCAAAAUUUGUUAGAUGCGAUCAUACUGUGUGGUUCGUACCUAAAGUUUUUCAUAAUUUGACCUCAAAUCAGGUAGGAAUACCCGCUGAACUUAA